CACGUAGGGGGCAAGCGUUGUCCGGAUUUAUUGGGCGUAAAGAGCUCGUAGGUGGUUCGGUAAGUCAGGUGUGAAACCUCCAGGCUCAACCUGGAGACGCCACUUGAUACUGCUGUGACUGGAGUCCGGUAGGGGAGCGUGGAAUUCCUGGUGUAGCGGUGAAAUGCGCAGAUAUCAGGAGGAACACCAGCGGCGAAGGCGGCGCUCUGGGCCGGUACUGACACUGAGGGGCGAAAGCGUGGGUAGCAAACAGG
rnacentral:rRNA from 1 species